UCUAAUAUGGCAGAUUAGUGCAAUGGACUUAAACCCCAUAUAUGAAGAUUAUUCUUUUUUAGAA
rnacentral:tRNA from 1 species